CUUAAGGGAAGGAUGCUGGUGACGUGAACUCAUUCGAUGAUGAAGAUGCACUGUACGACAGUCACAUAUACACACGUAUUCCCACACCAUGGGACUUGACAAACACCGAGCUCUGUGGUAUGGGCUGGCUAUGUCGCUGUACACAUAUGGCUUGACAGGAGCACAGCAGGAAAUCAUCUUCGACGCGCAUCAAAGAAUAACAGUGUUUUCUCCACCCAGUAACGGUACAAAUAGAACGGUAACAUCAGGUCGGAAUAUAACUUUCGUGUGUCGCAGACCUGCUACAGAAAAUAAUGUCCGCAUGUCGAAUGGUACAGAAACAACCAGCGAGAUAAAACGGCAGAGGUUCAGUACUUCAAUGGCAGAUGUGGACUGAAGAUUCAGACAUUACCACGCCUGUCUGUAGAACAAACGGAUUGUGAAGAUGGUCAAUUCAAGCUGAGGAUAAGAGAGGUCGAUACCAGUUUUGAGGCUGAUUGGUUCUGUAUCGUCAUUCGAGCACAAAUAUCGAUAUCAAAGCCAGUACAUUGGGCUUCAUGUUCAAAGCCUAGAAAUAACACCAAGUGAUGAAGUACCCACAGCCUCAACUCAAUUAUUAUUGCUGCUGUAGUUGUCAGCCUGGUUCUAAUCGUCGUAGUUUGCCAUCAUCAUCGUCUUCCGUUUCAAAAGAAAGGUAUCUGAAUCAACACUGCGCCACCCUCCUGACGGAACUAUGCACCAGGCUGCGGACAAUGUUGCAGUGGACUCAGAAGGAUCUGCUUCUGGUGGUGAUUACCUACACCCUGACGCUAGAGGAGAAUAUAUGGGUCUUGAUAGAAAUGCUGUCCAGCCUUCGAACAUAUACGAACACCUGACAACAUACGAACAGAUUUCAAAUGUGUGAAGUGUUGGAAGUUCACAAAGAAACUAUAUAAUGCACUUUGUCUUUACAUGUGUGUAAAUCCUCACCUUUGUAUGGAAUACAUUACAAUAAUUUUGAAAAUAAACAAACCAAGCAGAUAUAACACCAUAUUGCGUAAUAUUCAAAAUAAUGUAAAACAAAGAAUAUGAUUUAUUGAUCCGUAACAUGCACACUCAUACAAUUAGCAGUACACUACGAUUAUAACCACUACAUAUAGUGUGUAGUAUAUUUUGUAGUUCUUGACCAGACACUCCAGUGAUUAACAACAUGAGCAUCGAUCUACUACAACUACAACAACAACAACUACUACUACUACUACUACUACUACUAACUACUGUAACGGGAUGGCUCUUUCACAACGACACAACUCCGUUGAGGCUGCAAGUUCCUUGUUUAUUACUGUAGUUUGUAUAAAUAAUACAAGUCUGAAACAAUGUAUAUGAAUAUAU